rnacentral:rRNA from 1 species
GAUGAACGCUAGCGGGAGGCUUAACACAUGCAAGUCGUGGGGCAGCACAGGUAGCAAUACUGGGUGGCGACCGGCGCACGGGUGAGUAACGCGUAUGCAACCUGCCCUGUACAGGGGGAUAGCCCGGAGAAAUUCGGAUUAAUACCCCAUAAUGAUAUUAAGAGGCAUCUUUUGAUAUUUAAAGUUUCGGCGGUACAGGAUGGGCAUGCGUGACAUUAGCUAGUUGGUAGGGUAAUGGCCUACCAAGGCUUCGAUGUCUAGGGGUCCUGAGAGGGUGAUCCCCCACACUGGUACUGAGACACGGACCAGACUCCUACGGGAGGCAGCAGUGAGGAAUAUUGGUCAAUGGGCGCAAGCCUGAACCAGCCAUCCCGCGUGAAGGAAGAUUGCGCUAUGCGUUGUAAACUUCUUUUCCAGGGGAAGAAAAUCCUGUACGUGUACGGGACUGACGGUACCUUGGGAAUAAGCAUCGGCUAACUCCGUGCCAGCCGCCGCCGUAAAAC